GAAAAGCAGCCAACAAGGGCUUAGCAUAUGUGGAAACUCCUUCAAGACUGUUGAGCCUGCUCAGCUUUGGCCCCUACCUCCUGGAGAAGACAGAGGUCCUGGCUGAGUACAAGAAGAAACGGAAGGAUGCCAACAACAACUUUGUGGGCGACACUAGUCCCUGCUGUGGAGGCUAUUACGUUUGACCCUGAGACCCAUUUCCCAGUAAUCACUGACAGCUGUACCGGCUGCACUCUCUGCCUCAGCAUCUGCCCCAUCAUCGACUGCAUCAAAAUGGUUACCAGGCCAACACUGUACGUGCCUAAGAGGGGGCUGCCUCAAGCUGUUAAUCCAGUUUGCUAAAGGCUAGAACAGGGCCAUGUUCAUUAGGCGCAAAACGGAAGAAAAUGUAUUGAAACAGGGAGAUACUACUUGGGCUAGUCCAAUGAGAAAUGGUCAUUUUUUCGUUUCCUGUUGCAAAAUGUUUUAAUACGUUUUCUACUGUGUGCUCUAAUGAAUACGACCCAUGCUUUACCUGACCACCGUAGAGCGGAGGGGGGAGAAGAGGAGAGGACCAAUGUCUACUUCACACCAUUGAUUGGCCACAUAAUUGCAGAGUGAAAAAUUACCUUUAUUAUGAACAUUUAUAAUUAUCUAGAAGCAGUAAUUACCUUAUAUUCCCAAGCCAAUUAUUCUGAAAUAAUUGUGCCGGGCACCAAAUAGUUACAGUGUUAUUUCUAAAACAGUGGCUUGCAAUGUGGGGUUUAGUUUUUUAUCUGCCCUGCUGGAAUUGAUAGAGAUUGUGUGUUGAAGUUUCCAUGGUUCAGUUCAAGGUGCAUACUGAUAAUCAUAUUCAUUGAUUAUCAUCUUUUGGACCAGUGGAAAUUGCAAUGCACUGUUCAAAGACAGAUGAAUGCAAUCAUGGUGUACAGGUUAUAGUUCUGUUAUAUUAAGUAUGUUAAUAAUGAACUGGGGGAUAAUAGGAAAGAUUUUGAUGGAAAUUAGGACUCUAUUCAAUCUGUAUCGCUAAAGUAUUACAGAUUACGCGAUAAAAAUGUAAAGGUCAUUUCUGAUUAAGCCGACAUGCAGCGCUUACCAUGAAUGCAGUCUCCGAUAACGCGGGAACAUUGGUUUUAAAUUUCAAAUAUACUGUCACGCUGAACUUCCACGAUACAGAUUGAGUAGAGCUCUAAUAUAUUUUGGUGUGACUUGAUUUUGAAAUAGAUUUUCCUGUGAUUUUGUGUAUAUUCUUUAAGGCGAUCAUAUGCCUUUUAGCUUGAUGUAUUGAUGAGUAGAAAAAUAGCACAUGAAUAAUGUUUUGGGCAUUAUAGGUUGAGACAGGUUUUAUAUACAUUUUAGGGAAAUUGUAUUAAAUUUGUUUUAUAUAUUUACAUAUUACAUAUUUAAGUCAUUUAUUUAAUAAUCAUAUUUAUGACAAUCAUAUAACCUGCAAUCUAGGUAUAUAUGUGAGUGACUUCAAGAUCAGACACCUACUCAAUUAUAUCUGAACACUUUUAGAGAUAAUCCAUAAAUCUUAUGCCCUAUUCAUAAUCAAUGAACAGACUGGUUUGAAAAACAAAACAUUUUUUUUGUGUUAAUACAAUCUCUACACAAUUCCCUUUUUCCCCAAAAAUUCACAAACAAAACACCCAAUUCUGUGUAUGGGGUAAGCUGUUGAUGUAACGGUUCUCUUGUGGUGAAGGAGAGUCGGACCAAAAUGCAGCGUGUAGAUUGUGAUCCAUGUUUAUUCAACUAACGUUACACAAAUCUAA